CUUACUACCACUGGAGCCCAUGGCCAGCUGGGAAAGGACACAGUCGCUUGAGUUCUUGCUGUGACCCUUUAGUAAUUCCAGUAAAGUCUGAGUACCACUAUGGGAGCAUUAGAACACCUACACUGCAAUAAAAGAAUCAACUGUGUGAUGUGUAUGCAAGUAACCAGAACUGACAGGACAUGUGACCUAGGACUACUGACCUCCUGCCUGGGCAAAGCAGAGAACACAUGCAACACAAACUUUUCUGGAGUACUUAACAGUUUUCUGACGAUCAGUUAAUACACUCCUCAGAAGCUACUGCAGUAGGAACAGCUGUUUGAAACACAAAUGGUUCAGAUCAUAAAGUAACAGAGCAGGAAUAUGUGCUUAAAUAAAAAGGAAAUUCUCAAAGAAUGCGGUAGAAGUGCAAAGAAAGACACAAGCUGAAUGCCAUCAAAACAGACACAUACACAUGGAAUCUUCACAAAUGAAAUUUAGUAUUUGGAAAAUGAAGCAACGAAACUUCCAGACUCGCAAGAUGGUACCAAACCACCUACCAACAUCUAUAUGCACAUACUUUGCCUCCCUGCCUGUCACUGUGCCAAACCAUCCAUGCUGUUAUUCAAAUACAAUCUUUCAACCUGUGCAUCAAGCCUAUCCCUCUAGUACACUCAAGAAUAUUAUUCCAACAACUGAAUUAGU